GACGAACGCUGGCGGCGUGUCUAAUACAUGCAAGUCGAACGAAGUGGGGACGGGUGAGUAACAAGUGGGUAACCUACCAUCAGAGGGGAUAAAACUUGGAAACAGGUGCUAAACCGAUACUGAUGGAUGGACCCGCGGUGCAUUAGCUAGUUGGGGGGGUAACGGCUCACCAAGGCCACGAUGCAUAGCCGACCUGUGAGGGUGAUCGGCCACACGGGAACUGGGCCACGGCCCAGCCUCCUACGGGAGGCAGCAGUGGGGAAUCUUCGGCAAUGGACGAAGUCCGGACCAGGCAACGCCGCGGAAGUGUAGAAGGUUUUCGGUUCGUAAGACUCUGUUGUUAGAGAAGCGGUAUCUAACCAGAAAGCCACGGCUAACUACGUGCCAGCAGCCGCGGUAAUAC
rnacentral:rRNA from 1 species